CUCUUCCCCCUCGGGGCCUAGAGGAGGCCACGCGCGGGGUCUCCGAGCUCUAGGGUCCGGAGCUCUAGGGUCCUUUUAUGUAGCAAAGUCAGGCCUGGGAACAGAACUUCAUGUGCUUGUAAAAAGUCUCAGGUGCGUCCUCGUUGUUUUAGAGACUUGGAGAGGAAUGGGGGCGGGGGGAACAAAAUCCGAGGACAGUCGAGCCAAGAAAAGUCGGGGCUUCUAGGAUGCCAACCACGCCAAACAGAUCAAAACCAGGACUGGAGGACUGAAGAUGAAGCCGGCAAAAAGUCACCAGCCACGGCUCUUGUAAGGUAUGCUUCACCUCUCCUGCUAAGUCUUCAUCCCUGUCUAUGAGGACAAAGAAGUUACGGGUUAAAUUGGCGAUGGGCCAGGCGCUCCUUGAGGAUGCUCUAAAGUUGGUGAUAGAAAAUGGGAGAACUGAAGACAACCACUUUAUAAAACCCUUGCCUGCUUGAAUUUGUGGUGAUGAACUGGCCCCUGGGAUUUGCUGCUCAGAACCUGAGUUCACUGAGACAUCAGGAGCAAGCACUGGAGGCCGGGUGCUGCUGGACCCAGAUGGGAGCCAUGCAGGACUUGACCAUGGCCUGCACACACUUCUUCCCAGGAGAAGGGGAAUGAGGAAGAACCGGCCCCUGGGAUUUGCUGCUCAGGACCCGAGUUCACUGAGACAUCAGGAGCAAGCACUGGAGGCCGGGUGCUGCUGGACCCAGAUGGGAGCCAUGCAGGACUUGACCAUGGCCUGCACACACUUCUUCCCAGGAGAAGGGGAAUGAGGAAGGUCUGGAUCCCCUAGGGUUGCCACCAGGAUCACCAGAAAGUUUGUUAAAUAGAGAAGCACUUGAUAGAAGGCACCUGGAUAAGGAUGGACAGAAAUCAGAGGCCUUGGCUAUCUGGAUUCUGACUUCUUCAAAAAGAUGAGAUGAUAGAUGAGAAAAGCCCGUCCGUGGUGUUAGAGACUUUGGCCCCACACCCAUGCCGUGCAGCUCUGCCAGGGCCUACCUGCUUGACUCAACCCUUUUUGUUCCCUCACCCUCUCUGGGUAACUGAGAGAUUUAUACCUUGGCUAUCCUGGGAAUGUCUUUCUAAACUAAUAAAAUUGUUCUUGAGUUUCCUUCUG
rnacentral:lncRNA from 1 species